rnacentral:lncRNA from 1 species
GCAUGCAUUAGCAAAACUUAUUUAUUCCCCCAUUCCCUUUCAUUUGUCACCUUGUAAAACUAAUUUUGUUUCUAGUCUCUUUAGGAAUAAGUUUUUGAGCUUCAUUACACACCUGGGCAACUACCCUCUGACCCCUGUAGUCAAUUAUAGCCAGAGCAAGGUUAUAAAGUCCUGGGACAUUGGCUUCCUGGUAAGCCUUGGUGCCUUUCAAAUCAUUGUUUGCAGAAGCGUAUGUGGCUUGCUCAUUCUCAGCCAGCUCAGUUUCAGGCGAAACAUCUUGAGCGACUUCUGCAGAUUUAAUAAGAUUUUCUGAACUAGGACCAUCAUCUUUCCCCCCAUUGGGAACCAGACUGUCAUCAUCAAGUGAAAUAGAAGCAGCUUUAGCAGAAGAAUUAUGCCGAGUGCUUGUGCCCCCUGCUUUUGGAUUAGCAUCAGUACGUUUCUUUGACAGCUUCUCAAGGUCAGAAUCAACAGCAAAACUAAAGAAUAUAUUGUUGUGCACAUACCUAUUAACAAAAUUACACUCAUGAGCUAAACAUUACAAUAUAAAGGUAAGCUCGUGUGGGGAAAGGGAAAUAUCACAGAUAAUAACAGAGCAUAUGAACUAUGACAACAAAAGAUUGUAGCUUUAUAAACAAAAGAAAAAUAGUAUAAGAUACACCAUACUAUAUUCUGCCAAAGCAAUUUAGCAAUACUUGAGACAUCCAUGUCAUGAACAGUUUCUUCACAAUGCAAAUUUAUGGGCCAAGAACAAUAUACUUAGAUCCACCCUCCCACCCCGAAGCAUGAAAAAUGUAACAUGCAACUUCAACUAGAGCAUACUUAACAUUAUUUUAAAAUAUUAAAAUAUCAGGGUGCAGCAAGUAAAUUAUUUAGAAUUUGGAGAAUACAUUUAACAAAUUGGUUAGUUAUAAAACAGUUAAGGGCCCACUAACAUGUGAAAGCAUUCUGGGUCAGUUGGAUUUAUUGGAGGAAUGCAGCCACUGAUCACUCCAACAGCACCAUUAAUGGCUGCGUCAACAAAGUCUGAUGUCACUUUAUAAAGUGCCCUAUCCCGUAAAAUCCUGCAGUGAUGGACAAAUCACCCAAAAAGCAGAGACAAUAAAUGAUAUCAAAUCACUACCAACAUAUAAACUCUAGAACAGGCACAUUUCCAAAGACAUUCAAAUUAUGGAUGAGAGAAAACGAAGUAACAAUAUAAGAACAUCAUGAAUGCUAAGAGUGAACCCAUGAUUUUUUUCACACAGAAAGCAUAUACAUACACACCACAGGGAGAUAAACAACAACAACUAAGCCUUAAUCCCACUAGGUGGGGUACACGGGAAGAUAAAUGGGGGAAACUCAGAGAUAGAUGAAAGAUAAAGAGUUAGAGGUAGAUGAAGGCAAAAUAAGAGGUAAAAAACCUCUGGACUCCCAGCUAGUUUGAAUUCAGUGAAGACAUUAGGAUUAAAAACAAUUUCCUCAUAGUGAUCAGAGGCUUCAGCAGCUGCAGCAGCAAGUUCUUUAACAUCAUCCACUUUCUCUUUAUUUGCCCAAUCCUGACGCAAUUGAAGCACAUAAACAAGUUCAAAUCUUCAUAUAAAAAAUUAACCACCAAGAAAUUGUCCUUAAUUACUAAUGUUAAAACUCAAAGAUUUAGAGAAGAAAAGAGUGACAGCUAGCAAUAGAAAACUGAGUGAGAUUUUAGAAUGUGCUGCACAAAUACAAUAAUCUAAUGAACCUAUUUAUAGUACUAAUUAGGUCAAGUACAAGUAUUACUAGUACGAGCCCACUACUAAUAACCCUAAUAUAUUGUAAGUUGACUAACCUUAUACUAAUAACAAGUCACAAAACCAUCAACCAAAAAAUACAGUCUACAAAUCCGUUAAAUACCCAGCUCAGUCUCUGUUAACCUCGUUUAACACCCCAAAAUCCAGGAAGUGAAAGUGUACGAGCACCAUUCAAAAAUGUUCAAACAAGCAUAAGCAACGAAAUGACUCUGUUACUGUAUGAAGUUGAAACAAGUAAUUUCUUUUAAGAAUAGAGCUGGGGAAUAAUACUAAAAGACAUAAUCCAUAGAUAACCUUACAUACACAUAACUUUUCAUGUGAAACCUCUUUCGUGAUUGUCCUUAAAAAUGCUGGAAAGGGUGAAGAAAGAACUUGUUUCAGAAAAACACAAUAAAAGCAUAUGAUACACUGUUAUAGCACUUACUACCAUGCCAGUUUCAGUGGCAUUUUGAGAAUCAGUAGCCACGUUGUCUACCCCUUGAGAUUUUGAUGUCUCCGCUGCUUGGGCCUAUUUACAUAAAGAUCCAUCGGUGUGAAACUUAAUAUACAAAGCAAACCCUGAAUAUUGCUAACAUUGGAGUACUUUAGUUACCUGGCAAAAGGCAGCAAUUAACUCUGGUCUCAAGAUACAAAACUGUGAACCGAGUCCAGUAUAGUUUACAUCCCGGGGAGUUACUCUCAACAAAUCAAGUAGAUAAUGCCUGAUUUGGUAACAAAAUAUGAGCAUCUUUCCAUAGUUGUACCACAGUAAGCAUAAGAUUAUACGAACAUAAAGUUGUGAUAAACUAAACUUGAACAUUGUAACAUACAACAAAUGCUUGACUAACUUCCAAUCUGUUAGUGUUCAAUAACCUUAUUCAAAAAUAAAUAACAUAAAAAAUAGACAAAGUGGAGUUAACAAAGAUGCUAAUACAUCAAGCAAAAUAAAAAAUUUGGUGUAGUUGGAAUAAUAUGCCUAUUGUAUGCCCCACUUGCUAAUCCGCAGAGACGAGAUCAUCAACAACACAAACAGACUGUAUAAAAAUAACAAACUGACAUAAGAAUAAUUACCGAUCAUCACCACCAACGAUUCCCUUGCUUUCCACUGGCGCAGCUAAUUUGAAGACAUUUCCAGAUCCAUCAAUUACUGAGUGUUCCUUCAAAUGAAGGCGUUUGGCAGCCUCUGACACCUAACAUAAAAAGAUACCAAAUAAGGAAAAAAUUAUCUGAUAGAAAAAACAGGCUUUUAUAGUAGCAAUUUACAGAUACUGCAUUAUAAAACAUACUUAGUUUCCACUAACCAAAAAGUUCUUUAUCAUUUAAUGACACCCAAAAUAAGUUUGAUGGUCACCCAUACUGUUUACGUAAUAAUACUUCAAUCUGAAACUUAACCUUACCUUAGAAUGAAAAUCUUCAUUCCAGCAAAUUUUCUUUCCAUUGUCAACAGAGCCAUACAAGAGAGAGUCUGACUUGUCCCCUUGAAGAAUGCCUGGUAAGACACUCUGCAGCACAAUAUAUGAUUUGGAUUGAAAUCAAAAUAUCAAUGUAACUUGCGAAUGCAAAUGCAUGGGGUUUCAAAUUAUAAGCAAUGAAGCAAAUUUGAAGUAUAAAAUCCAUCAUGUAUCUGCAGUGCACCAGUGAAACAAUUUAACAAGUGCCCUUAUGAAUUGGUCAAGGAAACAACCAGAAAUUAUUAAAAAAUAAAGCAUUUACUUCUUUAAGUAAUUAGAAGCAUUGAAAGAGGACUUCAAAUGCUCCCUACCAGGACCCUUAAGGGCAUGCAUUAGCAAAACUUAUUUAUUCCCCCAUUCCCUUUCAUUUGUCACCUUGUAAAACUAAUUUUGUUUCUAGUCUCUUUAGGAAUAAGUUUUUGAGCUUCAUUACACACCUGGGCAACUACCCUCUGACCCCUGUAGUCAAUUAUAGCCAGAGCAAGGUUAUAAAGUCCUGGGACAUUGGCUUCCUGGUAAGCCUUGGUGCCUUUCAAAUCAUUGUUUGCAGAAGCGUAUGUGGCUUGCUCAUUCUCAGCCAGCUCAGUUUCAGGCGAAACAUCUUGAGCGACUUCUGCAGAUUUAAUAAGAUUUUCUGAACUAGGACCAUCAUCUUUCCCCCCAUUGGGAACCAGACUGUCAUCAUCAAGUGAAAUAGAAGCAGCUUUAGCAGAAGAAUUAUGCCGAGUGCUUGUGCCCCCUGCUUUUGGAUUAGCAUCAGUACGUUUCUUUGACAGCUUCUCAAGGUCAGAAUCAACAGCAAAACUAAAGAAUAUAUUGUUGUGC